GGUUAUGGCUCAGUGGUAGAGCGCUUGCCUAGCACAUGCGAGGCCCUGGGUUCAAUCCUCAGCACCA
rnacentral:tRNA from 1 species